rnacentral:rRNA from 1 species
ACUCCUACGGGAGGCAGCAGUGGGGAAUAUUGCACAAUGGGGGAAACCCUGAUGCAGCCAUGCCGCGUGUGUGAAGAAGGCCUUGGUUGUAAAGACACUUUCAGUAGGGAGGAAGGUAGUGUAGUUAACACCUGCAUUAUUUGUACGUUACCUACAGAAGAAGCACCGGCUAACUCCGUGCCAGCAGCCGCGGUAAGUACGGAGGGUGCGAGCGUUAAUACGGAAUUACUGGGCGUAAAGCGCAUGCAGGCGGCCUGUUAAGUUCAGAUGUGAAACGCCCGGGGUCUUAACCUCGGAAUUGCAUUUGAAACUGGCAGGCUAGAGUCUUGUAGAGGGGUUAGAAUUUCAGGUGUAGCGGUGAAAUGCGUAGAGAUCUGAAGGAAUACCGAGUGGCGAAGGCGG